rnacentral:rRNA from 1 species
UACGAAGGGGGCUAGCGUUGUUCGGAAUUACUGGGCGUAAAGGGCGCGUAGGCGGCGUGUCAAGUCAGGCGUGAAAGCCCCGGGCUCAACCUGGGAACCGCGCUUGAGACUGGCAUGCUCGAGUUCGGGAGAGGAUGGUGGAAUUCCCAGUGUAGCGGUGAAAUGCGUAGAUAUUGGGAGGAACACCAGUGGCGAAGGCGGCUACCUGGACCGGUUCUGACGCUGAGGCGCGAAAGCGUGGGUAGCAAACAGG